rnacentral:rRNA from 1 species
ACUCCUACGGGAGGCAGCAGUGGGGAAUAUUGCACAAUGGAGGAAACUCUGAUGCAGCAACGCCGCGUGGAGGAUGACACUUUUCGGAGCGUAAACUCCUUUAUAUAGGAAGAUAAUGACGGUACUAUAUGAAUAAGCACCGGCUAACUCCGUGCCAGCAGCCGCGGUAAUACGGAGGUGCAAGCGUUACUCGGAAUCACUGGGCGUAAAGAGCGUGUAGGCGGGUUAUUAAGUCAGAAGUGAAAUCCUAUGGCUCAACCAUAGAACUGCUUUUGAAACUGGUAACCUAGAGUAUGGGGAGAGGGUAGAUGGAAUUUCUGGUGUAGGGUAAAAUCCGUAGAGAUCAGAAGGAAUACCGAUUGCGAAGGCGAUCUACUGGAACAUUACUGACGCUGAGACGCGAAAGCGUGGGGAGCAAACAGGAUUAGAUACCCGUGGUAGACUGUCA